UUUUAUCAAGGAAGAAAAGCAAAUGGCGAACCAUUUGUUUGCCGGUACUUGAUGAAUAAGCCCCGGCUAAUUAUGUGCCAGCAGCCGCGGUAAGACAUAAGGGGCAAGUGUUAUCCGGAAUUAUUGGGCGUAAAGGGUGCGUAGGCGGUCUAGUAAGUCAGUGGUGUAAUGGCAACGCUUAACGUUGUCCGGCUAUUGAAACUGCUAAACUUGAGUUAGAUAGAGGCGAGUGGAAUUCCAUGUGUAGCGGUAAAAUGCGUAAAUAUAUGGAGGAACACCAGAGGCGUAGGCGGCUCGCUGGGUCUUAACUGACGCUGAGGCACGAAAGCGUGGGGAGCAAACAGGAUUAGAUACCCUGGUAGUCCACGCCGUAAACGAUGAGUACUAAGUGUCGGGUUAAACCGGUACUGAAGUUAACACAUUAAGUACUCCGCCUGAGUAGUACGUACGCAAGUAUGAAACUUAAAGGAAUUGACGGGACUCCGCACAAGCGGUGGAUCAUGUUGUUUAAUUCGAAGAUACCCGAAAAACCUUACCAGGUCUUGACAUGUUUUUGCAAAAUGAUAGUAAUAUCGUGGAGGUUACCAGAAACACAGGUGGUGCAUGGUUGUCGUCAGCUCGUGUCGUGAGAUGUUAGGUUAAGUCCUAAAACGAGCGAAACCCUUAUCGUUAGUUGCCAGCACGUUAUGGUGGGGACUUUAACGAGACUGCCAAUGAUAAAUUGGAGGAAGGUGAGGAUCACGUCAAAUCAGCAUGCCCCUUAU
rnacentral:rRNA from 1 species